rnacentral:lncRNA from 1 species
AUGGCUUCUACCAAGAUGCUGCUGCUCUUGCUCUCAAUGGCCUUGCUUGCCCUGAGCUCAGUUCAGGGGAAUGAAGAUGGUAUUGUUUCUGAAGAUUUUCUUGAAGGAUCAGAAGCCCAUUCAGAGGAAGAGGAAAUACCCCAGCUAUUAACUGAUGGAUUAGUUGAAGAAGUCCCAGAGGAAUCACAAGGAAGACUUGGAGGUCUGCUUGGCAAGAAAGGCAAAAAUGGAAGGAAAGGCCAUGGUCAGCAGUAUAGGCCUUGCAGCCAGAAUGUCCAGGGAGGCCAAAAAAACUCACCUAGCAGAGGUGACCGAGAUGGUCGAGGUGGCCAAAGAGGCUCGGAUCAUGAGGGAGGCCAGGGCAGCCAGGGUAGCCAUGGUGGCAGACGUGGCCAGGGUGGCCCUGGUGGCCAGAGAGGCCAGCAUGGAAGAGGUGGCCAGGGUGGUCAGCACAGUGGCCAAUGACAAGGAAACCCAACUAAAGAUGGUCUCCAGUGAUUCUCUAUAAAUGAUACAGAUCCACUGAUGUCAUAGACUUCUCAGUGGUGUAAACUUCUUGGCCUUUCCUUUCUCCAACUUCAAAACAUCAAUAAAGUUAUCAGCACUAAUGUCCUGGCUCUUGUU